UACGAAGGGUGCGAGCGUUGUUCGGAAUUAUUGGGCGUAAAGGGUUCGUAGGCUGGAAGCUAAGUCAAUUGUGAAAUCCCCGAGCUUAACUUGGGACGUGCAGUUGAAACUGGUUUUCUUGAGUAUUGGAGAGGGUGGUGGAAUUGCUGGUGUAGGAGUGACAUCCGUAGAGAUCAGCAGGAACACCAGAGGCGAAGGCGACCACCUGGCCAAGAACUGACGCUGAGGAACGAAAGCGUGGGGAGCAAACAGG
rnacentral:rRNA from 1 species